GAUGAACGCUGGCGGCGUGCCUAAUACAUGCAAGUCGAGCGAAUGGAUUGAGAGCUUGCUCUUAUGAAGUUAGCGGCGGACGGGUGAGUAACACGUGGGUAACCUGCCCAUAAGACUGGGAUAACUCCGGGAAACCGGGGCUAAUACCGGAUAACAUUUUGAACCGCAUGGUUCGAAAUUGAAAGGCGGCUUCGGCUGUCAUUUAUGGAUGGACCCGCGUCGCAUUAGCUAGUUGGUGAGGUAACGGCUCACCAAGGCAACGAUGCGUAGCCGACCUGAGAGGGUGAUCGGCCACACUGGGACUGAGACACGGCCCAGACUCCUACGGGAGGCAGCAGUAGGGAAUCUUCCGCAAUGGACGAAAGUCUGACGGAGCAACGCCGCGUGAGUGAUGAAGGCUUUCGGGUCGUAAAACUCUGUUGUCAGGGAAGAACAAGUGCUAGUUGAAUAAGCUGGCACCUUGACGGUACCUAACCAGAAAGCCACGGCUAACUACGUGCCAGCCGCCGCGGUAA
rnacentral:rRNA from 1 species